CACGUAGGCGGAUAUUUAAGUCAGGGGUGAAAUCCCAGAGCUCAACUCUGGAACUGCCUUUGAUACUGGGUAUCUUGAGUAUGGAAGAGGUAAGUGGAAUUCCGAGUGUAGAGGUGAAAUUCGUAGAUAUUCGGGGGAACACCAGUGGCGAAGGCGGCUUACUGGUCCAUUACUGACGCUGAGGUGCGAAAGCGUGGGGAGCAAACA
rnacentral:rRNA from 1 species